GAGAAUUAAAUCGGUAAAAUGCCCCUCUUUGGAUGUAAACACAAAGUGUUUUCAGACAAAGAAGUAGACACCUAGACAAAAUUUUGUCCCGACCAUAUUCUAAAGAAAUUAACCGAAUGAAGAAGGGCAAUCGAGUCUUUAUUUUGGAAAUCCUACCAAUCCAAGUUAUGUAGGGAUCAAGUCACAAGUAUCUCAAAGGGUUGGAAGGAGAAGGAAUAUAUCAACUUGGAGAGUCGAGUGACGUCCUGUCGAAUUUGGGUCCGCGACUCUAUUAUUACAUCGAAACAAAUUACAAGUUAAAAAUAUAAAUGAAAUUACAAAAGUCUUAUCUAUGCCGCUUUCCUUGGCUCUUGACUUGCUAUUUCAUCACCCUGUUCUCCGAGCG
rnacentral:lncRNA from 1 species